rnacentral:rRNA from 1 species
UUAGCAAGGAUGAGGCGAGCCGACUCCACCCUUUGUGACCAACCCUGUUGCUUCGGGGGCGACCCCGCCGUUUCGGCGACGGCGCCCCCGGAGGUCAUCAAACACUGCAUCUUUGCGUCGGAGUCUUAAAGUAAAUUUAAACAAAACUUUCAACAACGGAUCUCUUGGUUCUGGCAUCGAUGAAGAACGCAGCAAGAACGCAG